rnacentral:rRNA from 1 species
GUGGGGAAUAUUGGACAAUGGGCGAAAGCCUGAUCCAGCCAUGCCGCGUGUGUGAAGAAGGUCUUCGGAUUGUAAAGCACUUUAAGUUGGGAGGAAGGGCAGUAAGUUAAUACCUUGCUGUUUUGACGUUACCGACAGAAUAAGCACCGGCUAACUUCGUGCCAGCAGCCGCGGUAAUACGAAGGGUGCAAGCGUUAAUCGGAAUUACUGGGCGUCAAGCGCGCGUAGGUGGUUUUGUAAGUUGGAGGUGAAAUACCCGGGCUCAACCUGGGAGCUGCCUACAAAACUGCAUGACUAGAGUACGGUAGAGGGUAGUAGAAUUUCCUGUGUAGCGGUGAAAUGCGUAGAUAUAGGAAGGAACACCAGUGGCGAAGGCGACUACCUGGACUGAUACUGACACUGGGGUGCGAAAGCGUGGGGAGCAAACAGGAUUAGAAACCCGGGUAGUCC